UACGUAGGGUGCAAGCGUUAAUCGGAAUUACUGGGCGUAAAGCGUGCGCAGGCGGUUUUGUAAGACAGAGGUGAAAUCCCCGGGCUCAACCUGGGAACUGCCUUUGUGACUGCAAGGCUUGAGUGCGGCAGAGGGGGAUGGAAUUCCGCGUGUAGCAGUGAAAUGCGUAGAUAUGCGGAGGAACACCGACGGCGAAGGCAAUCCCCUGGGCCUGCACUGACGCUCAUGCACGAAAGCGUGGGGAGCAAACAGG
rnacentral:rRNA from 1 species